rfam:Oryza brachyantha chromosome 3, whole genome shotgun sequence.
AAUAACCUUAUUUUUCAUUUUUCCGUAUUCAACGUUUGACUAUUCGUCUUAUUUGAAAAAAUUUGUACAAAAACUUAAAAAAAUUAGUCACGCAUAAAGUACUAUUCAUGUUUUAUUAUCUAGUAAGAAUAAAAAUAUUAAUCGCAAAAAAAUUUCAAAUAAGACGAAUGGUCAAACAUUGGAUACGGAAAAAC